rnacentral:rRNA from 1 species
UACAGGGGGGGCAAGCGUUGUUCGGAAUUACUGGGCGUAAAGGGCUUGUAGGCGGCCGAUUAAGUCCGACGUGAAAUCCCCAGGCUUAACCUGGGAACUGCGUCGGAUACUGAUUGGCUUGAAUCCGGGAGAGGGAUGCGGAAUUCCGGGUGUAGCGGUGGAAUGCGUAGAGAUCCGGAAGAACACCGGUGGCGAAGGCGGCUCUCUGGGACGGUACUGACGCUGAGACGCGAAAGCGUGGGGAGCGAACAGG